rnacentral:ncRNA from 1 species
GAAACUGCUUUGAUGGAGAAGAGUACGCAGUGCCUCCGCACAGGGAGAGGACGCCAUGGAUUGAGAGCGUCCUUAUGGAACAGGCUGCCGAAGUUCGCUCCGGAGCAUGCGCUUGAACGGCCGGAUAUUGUUCCGCGUCAGUAGGGCUGCACGGUUCCCGCCGUUAACGGGACUAGAGCAAUCACGAACAGCGGUUUUGUACGCAACGUGGUUGGAAUUAGGGUGGUACCACGGUUCUUCCGUCCCUUCG